rnacentral:rRNA from 1 species
UACGUAGGGGGCGAGCGUUGUCCGGAAUUAUUGGGCGUAAAGAGCUCGUAGGCGGUCCUUUAAGUCUGAUGUGAAAUCUCAGGGCUCAACCCUGAAACUGCAUCAGAUACUGGGGGACUUGAGGUAGGUAGGGGAAGGUGGAAUUCCUGGUGUAGCGGUGAAAUGCGCAGAUAUCAGGAAGAACACCCGUGGCGAAAGCGGCUCUCUGGAACGGUACUGACGCUGAGACGCGAAAGCGUGGGGAGCGAACAGG